GUUAAUAGUUGGACAAUUUAUAUGCUAUCCCUGCAAAAGGAUUUCAAUUUUGCUUGCUAAUUACUCGUAGCAUAUCCCUCUAUCAUUUUUAAUAAAAAUAUCCCAUGUUCACGACCUUCGCAAAAUAAAGUUGUUCAGCCCCACCGUGUAGUGAUGAAGACUU